CGCCCCAAACAGCUGCUUUUAUCAGGAUUAACAUAUUGCUAUGGUCUUGUUGGUUGCCCAGUUCAUCCUGAUUGGUACGUCAAGGCUUUAUAGGAUGGUUGUAGUGUGGUCCACCAUUUUUGGGAUUAUGACGACCAAUUUCGUUCAUUUUAUCAAAAUACUCUUUCUCUCCAAUGUGGCUUUAGGAUGGUUGUAGUGUGGUCCACCAUUUCUUGGAUUAUGACGACCAAUUUUGUUCAUUUUAUCAAAAUACUCUUUCUUUCCAAUGUAGCUUUAGGAUGGUUGUAGUGUGGUCCACCAUUUUUGGGAUUUUGACGACCAAUUAGUGGUGCUUCUGCUGUGAAAUUUUGGGGAUUAUCAAGUUCAUUUUAUCAAAAUACUCUUUCUCUCCAAUGUUCGUUGUGAGCUAUUAUUUUUGGGGAUUAUGAUGUAGCAUGUCAGUUCUUAAUAACCACUAUUAUUUUUUUAGUUCUCCAUGGCUUUUUCAUGACUUCUUAUAAUUUUCUCUAAUUGAAUAUAGAUGAGUUAUGCAGAAUUUAGUACUAUGUACGGAGCCCAUCUGAGUCCCAUUUCGGCGUUGCCAUGGUUGUUAGCGAAAAAUUAAGAAUUUUGACUUUUAAAAUACUAAUAUUACUACGCAUUUGAAAUGGAUGGAUUAUUGUAAUAGCAUGCUACAGUUUUAAUUUUACAUUUGCUUUCGUCUCUGAACUUGACAGCGUAAAUUCAUUUUGAUGUUGUCCCAUGCUCAUGAACCAGCCACACGCAGGGCUUGCGUCAACGUGUGAAAGCAAAUGGAUCCUCAGAACAAUAUUAGAGCAUAAGCAUAGUCUGUGCUGCCUUGAUGACAGAUAACCAAAAAGAGGAGAAGAACAGGAAGCGGCGUGAGGCGUAUCAACAGGGAAAAGUCAGUGCUGCCUUGCUGACAGAUGAGCAAAGGGAGGAGAAGAACAGGAAGGCAUAUAAGAGGAAGAAGUGUCAUGCACACAACAAGGAAAAUAAGCCAGUGGAUUUAAAUACGAGUAAUCCUAUUACUAAUGCUUUAGACGUAUGCGUCAUUUCUGAAAUGGCUGAACAUACAUCGGGUUCUGCUUUGCUCAAUCGUGGAAGUGAUAAUAUUCUGACUCCUCUGAAGACAGUAGAUAAAAAUACUGAAAGAAAUAAAAAGCAUCGUGAAGCUUAUCAGAAAAUGAGUGUUGAAACACAGAGCAAAUCAUUUCCUGCAGGUUUGUGUUUAACUAGACCCACAGGCUUCUUUCUGUGAGCAAUCAUUGUUUUGAUGCUAUUUGUGCUUGACCAUAAGGAUAAAAAAUUUACUUGGAUUGACCCGACCUCAACUCCAGAAUGGUGCAAAGAUAUGCCAUACAAGAAGUAUGUGCGCGCAAUCCUAGAUAUGAGUAUAAAGUAUAUGAGUGCUAUGAGAGUAUAUGACCAAAAAUGGAGCCAGAACAUUUUCACGUGGAAAGCUAAAAGUGCAGAUGGUAUUGUCGAGGAUAAAGAAGGGUAACUUAACUCAUAUCUGAAAUUGCAAUGUAUUCACAUAGCAUUCAAUCACAGGUGUUUAACUGGCUACAUAGUUCUGCAUAUAUGGCUGCCUGGAAGCAUGUGAGGACUACACCAAUAUGUGUGGAUGGACACGCACUGAGGAGGAAUUUUGUGAUUGACGCGCUGGCGUUCGAUGGAAACUCAUAUCGGAAAAUACUUCCUGAUUGUGUUAAGAAGUGCCUAAGCCGCAUCACAGGAAAAGACAUUUGAGUUAGAAUAUGAGAUAAAUUAUUCAAACUAUGUUUAUGAGAUUAUUGAUACUGUGAUUUUGUCUAGAUGAAUUCUUAAUCCAUUAUAGAUAUUUUGAUUUCAUCGAAUGCAAUAUUUUUCGGAUGUGUAGAAUAUUGUUUUGGGUUUA